rnacentral:rRNA from 1 species
UUGGGUGGCAUCACCUGGAUACCAAAGGAGCAAUCCGCUGAAAGAUGGGCUCAUAUCUGAUUAGCUUGUUGGCGGGGUAACGGCCCACCAAGGCGACGAUCAGUAGCCGGACUGAGAGGUUGAACGGCCACAUUGGGACUGAGAUACGGCCCAGACUCCUACGGGAGGCAGCAGUGGGGAAUAUUGGGCAAUGGGCGAAAGCCUGACCCAGCAACGCCGCGUGAAGGAAGAAGGUCUUCGGAUUGUAAACUUCUUUUAUGAGGGACGAAGGACGUGACGGUACCUCAUGAAUAAGCCACGGCUAACUACGUGCCAGCAGCCGCGGUAAUACGUAGGUGGCGAGCGUUAUCCGGAUUUACUGGGUGUAAAGGGCGCGUAGGCGGGGAUGCAAGUCAGAUGUGAAAUCUAUGGGCUUAACUCAUAAACUGCAUUUGAAACUGUAUUUCUUGAGUGCUGGAGAGGUAGACGGAAUUCCUUGUGUAGCGGUGAAAUGCGUAGAUAUAAGGAAGAACACCAGUGGCGAAGGCGGUCUACUGGACAGUAACUGACGCUGAGGCGCGAAAGCGUGGGGAGCAAACAG